UACGUAGGGGGCAAGCGUUGUCCGGAUUUAUUGGGCGUAAAGAGCGUGUAGGCGGCCUGAAAGGUCAGCUGUGAAAACUCGAGGCUCAACCUCGAGACGUCGGUUGAAACCAUCUGGCUAGAGUCCGGAAGAGGAGUGUGGAAUUCCCGGUGUAGCGGUGAAAUGCGCAGAUAUCGGGAAGAACACCCGUGGCGAAGGCGGCUCUCGUGGGACG
rnacentral:rRNA from 1 species